rnacentral:rRNA from 1 species
UACGUAGGGUCCAAGCGUUAUCCGGAAUCACUGGGCGUAAAGCGUGCGUAGGUGGCGUGUUAAGUGUGAUGUUAAAUCGUGUGGCUCAACCAUAUCGAUGUGUCGCAUACUGGCAUGCUAGAGGACAGCAGAGGCAAGUGGAAUUUGUAGUGUAGCAGUGAAAUGCGUAGAUAUUACAAGGAACACCAAUGGCGAAGGCAGCUUGCUGGGCUACUCCUGACACUGAGGUACGAAAGCGUGGGGAGCGAACAGG